AUUCUCACCUGUACAGGUAUCAUUCUCACCUGUACAGGUAUCAUUCUCACCUUGCAGGUAUAAUUCUCACCUAUACAUGUAUUCUCACCUGGUCACAGGUAU